CCUUGAUUCAGGAGGAUCUGAAGUAGUAAACGGAGAGAAGUGAAAUGCCAUAAAACAGUCAAAACAAGGUGAUGAUUCAGAACACGAAGACCUGUUGCCCUACAAGGAUAAAGAAUGAUUGGCAGGGACAAUAUGGAGGACAUACCUGAUUUGGCAGUUACACAAGAUACCAAUUCGACGACCAAUGGCGGUGAUGAUGUGAAUACAGACAUCCUCACUUAUACAGAUGAAGAUGCCAAUAGAAUCCUGAUUACAAC